rnacentral:rRNA from 1 species
CCCUUAGAUGUUCUGGGCCGCACGCGUGCUACACUGAGUGGAUCAGCGGGUCAGGUUGCGCGAAAGCGUUUCCUAAUCUUUAAAUCCGCUCGUGAUGGGGAUUGACGGUUGCAAUUUUCUGUCAUGAACGAGGAAUACCUUGUAAGCGCGGGUCAUCAUCCCGCGCUGAAUACGUCCCUGCCCUUUGUACACACCGCCCGUCGCUCCUACCGAUUGAGUGAUCCGGUGAGGCUUUGGGAUCUGAGCGGAAAGAGCGUUUCGCUGUUUCUGCUCGGAAAACUCAGUCGAACCUUAUCAUUUAGAGGAAGGGGAAGUCGUAACA